GACGAACGCUGGCGGCGUGCUUAACACAUGCAAGUCGAACGAUGAAGCCGGAGCUUGCUCCGGUGGAUUAGUGGCGAACGGGUGAGUAACACGUGAGCAAUCUGCCCUUGACUCUGGGAUAACUGCGGGAAACUGUAGCUAAUACCGGAUACGACACCUUGGGGCAUCCCAGGGUGUGGAAAGAAUUUCGGUCAAGGAUGAGCUCGCGGCCUAUCAGCUAGUUGGUGAGGUAAUGGCUCACCAAGGCGACGACGGGUAGUCGGCCUGAGAGGGGGCCGGGCCACACUGGAACUGAGACACGGUCCGGACACCUACGGGAGGCAGCAGUGGGGAAUAUGGCACAAUGGGCGAAAGCCUGAUGCAGCAACGCCGCGUGAGGGAUGAAGGCCUUCGGGUUGUAAACCUCUUUUAGCAGGGAAGAAGCGAAAGUGACGGUACCUGCAGAAAAAGCACCGGCUAACUACGUGCCAGCCGCCGCGGUAA
rnacentral:rRNA from 1 species